rnacentral:misc_RNA from 1 species
GACGGCAUCAUCCACUUGCUGCCGUUGUACGGGCCGACCUUCGCGUUCUUGUUGUGGUUGCUGAAGAUGAAGUCGCUGCCGCCAAGGCUCUUGUGGAAAACGUGAAAAAAGAUAUUCGCAGAAGGAUGCGAGCGGGUCAGAUAGACAACGCCGGAGAUAAAGCUGUUGGCAUGGGUGUGAAUGGUCUGACGUCCGCCGGGCUCCAGCAUGUUGACCCAGAUUUCCUUGAUCGACCAAUCCAGCGGCUCCCCCAACAGAUGUUGCCCGAACUCCGCCAG